rnacentral:misc_RNA from 1 species
GAUGAAGAACGUAGCGAAAUGCGAUACGUAGUGUGAAUUGCAGAAUUCAGUGAAUCAUCGAAUCUUUGAACGCACAUUGCACCUCUCGGUAUUCCGGGAGGUAUGCCUGUUCGAGCGUCAUUUGUACCCUCAAGCUCUGCUUGGUGUUGGGUGUUUGUUCCGCCUCUGUGUGUGAACUCGCCUCAAAACAAUUGGCAGCCGGCGUACUUGUUUCGGAGCGCAGCACAUUUUGCGAUCCAGAUCAACGUACAGCGGCAUCCAAGAAGCCUUAUUUAACGCUCUUGACCUCGGAUCAUGUAGGGAUACCCGCUGAACUUAAGCAUAACAAUAAGCGGAGGA